GGAAACCACAGGCCCCGGCCCCGGCCCCGGCCCCGCCCAGCGCCGAAGUCUCCGUCAUGCCCCCUGUGCCCGCCUGCGGCACCUGCCCGCCCUGACCUGGGCUGAGAGGCAUUUUCCCCAGUGGGCUGUAGCUCGCGAAAGCUUAUGCUCCCAGAAACGUGUUAGUCUCUAAGGUGCCACGAGUCCUCCUCCUUCUCUUUCUUUCUGCCACUACAGACUAACAGGGCUGCUACUCUGAAACCGAGCUCUAGCUAGUGAGUCAGCGGUAACUUUCCUUGUGGCUUGUACAGGAGCGCAGCUGCAGUCCAGGGCUGCCUUCGGCUUGGCACUAGGCCCACGCCAAGCUGGAGGAGCUUCCCUAACCCCCCCAGGAAUACCCAGGGCAUGUAAAUCCCCAGUGACCGCAAUGUUGCCCUGGAAUCCUUGAAUGUGAGUAGAGAGGAGUCCGUAUACUCACUGAAGAGCUUGGAUCCUUCAAGCACCUCUCUUAGAAGACCGGAGAACUUGAGCCAGGACACACUCAUGAUCACAGCUGUGGCCAUGUACCUGGAGGCUGUGUUGAUGGCAUCUAGGGCAGCUUAGAGGGAGCUUUUUGAGAUUAACUGCACAUACAAGAUGGGCUAAAAUUGCUCUCUUUGGACUUGUGGGAGGUGGUAAAUAAAAUGUGUAAAUUUUGA